rnacentral:rRNA from 2 species
GAGAUUCUUCGGAAUCUUGAGAGCGGCGCAGGGUGCGGAACACGUGUGCAACCUGCCUUUAUCUGGGGGAUAGCCUUUCGAAAGGGAGAUUAAUACCCCAUAAUAUACUGAGUGGCAUCACUUAUUAUUGAAAACUCCGGUGGAUAGAGAUGGGCACGCGCAAGAUUAGAUAGUUGGUGAGGUAACGGCUCACCAAGUCAAUGAUCUUUAGGGGGCCUGAGAGGGUGAUCCCCCACACUGGUACUGAGACACGGACCAGACUCCUACGGGAGGCAGCAGUGAGGAAUAUUGGACAAUGGGUGAGAGCCUGAUCCAGCCAUCCCGCGUGAAGGACGACGGCCCUAUGGGUUGUAAACUUCUUUUGUACAGGGAUAAACCUUUCCACGUGUGGAAAGCUGAAGGUACUGUACGAAUAAGCACCGGCUAACUCCGUGCCAGCAGCCGCGGUAAUACGGAGGGUGCAAGCGUUAUCCGGAUUUAUUGGGUUUAAAGGGUCCGUAGGCGGAUCUGUAAGUCAGUGGUGAAAUCUCAUAGCUUAACUAUGAAACUGCCAUUGAUACUGCAGGUCUUGAGUAAGGUAGAAGUAGCUGGAAUAAGUAGUGUAGCGGUGAAAUGCAUAGAUAUUACUUAGAACACCAAUUGCGAAGGCAGGUUACUAUGUCUUAACUGACGCUGAUGGACGAAAGCGUGGGGAGCGAACAGGAUUAGAUACCCUGGUAGUCCACGCCGUAAACGAUGCUAACUCGUUUUUGGUUUUUCGGAAUCAGAGACUAAGCGAAAGUGAUAAGUUAGCCACCUGGGGAGUACGAACGCAAGUUUGAAACUCAAAGGAAUUGACGGGGGCCCGCACAAGCGGUGGAUUAUGUGGUUUAAUUCGAUGAUACGCGAGGAACCUUACCAAGACUUAAAUGGGAAUUGACAGAUUUAGAAAUAGAUCCUCCUUCGGGCAAUUUU